rnacentral:rRNA from 1 species
UACGUAGGGGGCAAGCGUUGUCCGGAAUCAUUGGGCGUAAAGGGCGCGUAGGCGGCACUGUUAGUCAGGCGUGAAAGUCCUGGGCUCAACCUGGGAACUGCGCUUGAUACGGCAGAGCUAGAGGAUGGAAGAGGCUCGCGGAAUUCCCAGUGUAGAGGUGAAAUUCGUAGAUAUUGGGAAGAACACCGGUGGCGAAGGCGGCGAGCUGGUCCAUUACUGACACUGAGGCGCGACAGCGUGGGGAGCAAACAGG